UACGUAGGGUGCAAGCGUUGUCCGGAUUUAUUGGGCGUAAAGAGCUCGUAGGCGGUCUGUCGCGUCGGAUGUGAAAACCCAGGGCUCAACCCUGGGCCUGCAUUCGAUACGGGCAGACUAGAGUACGGCAGGGGAGACUGGAAUUCCUGGUGUAGCGGUGAAAUGCGCAGAUAUCAGGAGGAACACCGGUGGCGAAGGCGGGUCUCUGGGCCGUAACUGACGCUGAGGAGCGAAAGCGUGGGGAGCGAACAAG
rnacentral:rRNA from 1 species